UCUUCUUCUUAACUUUGAGGAUGGUUGAGAAUGAAGCUCAGUACAAACCAGAUAAAGAAAUUUCCAAAAAUGCUUGCCGUUGAUUGUGAGAUGGUUCUCUGUGAAGAUGGCACUGAAGCUCUGGUGAGGGUUUGUGCUAUUGGGCGCAAUCUACAGGUCAAACUUAACGAACUUGUAAAUCCGAGUAAAGCAGUUGCAAACUAUAGGAGUGAAAUUACUAAGCUUAGUGCAGAAGAUUUAGAUGGAGUUACUUGUUCAUUGGCUAAUGUACAGGCUGUGUUGGGAUAUGAAGUCAGGAAGGAGGGUGCUCCCCACAAUUGUCUAGAUGAUACAACUGCUGCAAUGAAACUAGUUCUGGCCAAGAUAGAGUCUGGAUUUGACAAUGCUAUACCGCUGGUUCGUGAGGGUGUGCCUGAGAUCAAAAAGUCAAAGCUACUUCUCCACAGGAUACCAGUCAAUGUGCCCGAUGAAGAAUUACAUAAAAUUAUUCCUGGAGACUUUACAAUUGAGAUCAGGCCCAACAAAAAGGCUGGAGGAAAGAAGUAUUCUGCCUUUGCCAAUUUUAAGAAUCAAGAAGAGGCCAAUCAAGCAUUUGAAAAUAUCGAUGGAUACUGAGAAAAGGUAUUUCCCGGAUGAGAAUUUCUCUAUAUCUUGCACAACUUCUACUAUUUGGGAAAGGUGGCCCGUGUAUGUAGCUAUAUGUAUAUCCUUACUUUCCCUUGAAAGCAACAACUGAAGCUAACCCUAAUGUAACAUAGCUUUGCUAGUUUAGCUUUAAAACUUCAUCUCAUCUCUGACACAAAGGACUCGUACGGACUACCACAGAAAUGCAUUUCAUUCCAAUAUGAUUCCGGAUCGAUUGAUAGCUUUUGUGUUCGUAAAAUGACAAGUGAGGAUUUUCUUGGCCAAGUUUCAUCGAGGAAAAGACCAUUCCAAGCUGAGGAGACCACCACAGGCGAGUCCAAGAAGUUGAAGUCAUGUCAGGAAGCUGGAGAGCAGACUAAGGCAGGGUCAAACCUUUGUGAUGGUCACUUGAAGGAGAUUGAAAGACUGAAGCAAGAACUGAGACAGGGAUGAGGAAAUCUGUGACUUGAACAAGAUCAUAGUUGCUCUUACAAGGAAACAAGGACUUUUCUCUACAGUGUUGGAUGCUUAAAAGAGUGCCUUUUAAUUGUUGGCAUUUUUGGUGGUUGGCAGGUGAGUUUGGCAGGAGAGUAACCCAGGGAUGGUGAUUAUGACUCUGCUGCUGAAUUUUUAAU